CGUGGGUCUCCCCCCCUAAACGAUGCCGUUUUGAGGCGUGGGGGGGUGUGCAAAACUAUGUCGUUUUGCUGGCCCUUUUAAACCCAUUUUUUUUGUUUCCCUCAUUUCAGCCCCUUAUUGUUUCAAAAAACAGCAAAGAGUCUCAUUGCUCUCUCUCCCUUUUCCUUUGGUCACCGAAGGUGUGAUUCACCUCCGCACCGGCCACCAUAAGCGGUGGUCGGAGGUGCGAAAAUGGGCUCUUUAGCCUCCAUUUAAACGCGCUUAAAGGCUCACUUUUUUAGCCCCGAGAAGAUCGAGAAGAGAAGACCCCUCUCCCCCCUUUUGGACUCGAGUCCGGCGAAAGAGAAGGAGGCUCCGAUGGCGCGGCCACGGAGUAAAUCGGGUGUCAGAGACGUGGGUGGCCAGGGGUUGGCUCGCCAGGAGGUGAGGCGGCACGUGUGGAUAUGGUGUGAUUGUUAUCACAAUAAAUCAUAAUUUCUGAUUUUAAUGCAUCGAAAUAAUAUAAAUUUUGUAUUCAAGUAAGAAAAAAAUCUAUUCAUACUAUUAUUAUUGAAGAAUUUUACUUAAUUAUAUGAUGAAUUAAUCCAACCUCAA